rnacentral:misc_RNA from 1 species
GUAGGUGAACCUGCGGAAGGAUCAUUAGUGAAUUUUAGCGCAUCUGCUUGCAGAGCGUGACCUCCACUCUAUACACUGUGCACUCAUUGGCGGAGGAAGAAACUCGUUUAACGACUUGGAUCAACCUCUGCGGCUCACUUUAAACACCAGUCAAAGUACGUAUCAAUCAAUAACAAAAAAAAACUUUCAACAACGGAUCUCUUGGCUCUC